AGCAACUGUUUCCAAAUAAAGUCAGAGUCUGUCAAACUGAGCAUUUAGGACUUCAAUCUAUCUUCAGGAAUAAAAAUGGUGUCACUUAGUCAUUGAGCAGAGAACGGUUCUUGGCACAUAGCAUUGGAUACUCAGAAGGAUAAAGAUGCACAAAGGAAACAGUUAUGAGACGUGAAGGAUUUCAAGAGGGGACAAAUACCUCAUUCAGUGCUCUGCCUGUUGCUGCAAUGGGAGAUCAAGAUUUUUCAUCUCCUCUUUCUGUCAUUUCUAAGUCAGGAAGAGGAGACGAGUGACAGUGACCUGGGUCAAGGACAAAAUGAAUUCCUUAGAGUCAUUAUAGGAAAACAGCACUGGGCAUAAGCAUUUUAAUGUAAAAAUG